rnacentral:lncRNA from 1 species
GUUGUUAGACGUCAUCAGCUUUCCCCGUGGUCCGCCAAAUGCUGAAAAUUUUCUUUGAAUAAUGUCGGUGAACACGUGUUUUGACAAAACAUCGGUUAAAAAAAAGAACUGAAAAUUAGACAGUAGCUGAAAUAUUCGAACUAAUAGAUUUAUGGCGGACAAACUUGAAAGAUCUACGCCGGACAAAACGGAAUAGAGGAAUUUAUGAAAAGAUUGCCCGGCAUUUUUCUGAUCAUUUACCUGACAGACCACAAAUGUGGACUGAAAUAAGAACGAAAAUAAAAAGUUAUUGCUUUUCUAUUAUCCAUUUUAUCUCGUUGUUUAUUUACAAGGUAUUUCUGUAUAGUAUAAAAUUCGCUCCACGCUUACUUUGUUAAAUGUUGCCAAUAUAUCAUUCAGUUUGAAACAAUUAAUGAAUGGAAAAUAAAAUAAAAUAUGCCUAUAAAAGUACUAUCUUACUUCAUAUAUACAAUAAUUUCACUUACAGAAUAAUAUAAACAUAACAUAGAGAUUUGUUUGUGCAAAUAUAUUACAAAUAUUUUUUUAAUAAAAAUAAUGGUCACUAGGAGACACAUCCUAUUUUACAUAUUUAAACUAAACCGUAGAACACGUAUUUAAACGGGUUUUUAGAAUCUAAGAUAAGCUGGCUUCAAGUCAGCUAAAGUUUACUGUCUGAAUUAGGUAUUACUGUAGGUGUGGCAGCAUGAGGAGCAUAGGGAUGUCUAGUUGUUUAUUAAAUAAGUGACCUAUAUAAAUGGUGUCCCUACUACUAUUCAAUGUUUUAUACAUAAAUCUAAAUAUUGAAACUAAAUCUAAAAUUUUUAAUCUAUGUAUUUUUACAAAAAUACGGUAUACCCCAGAAUAUAUUUGGAUUAAGGUUAUCUGCAAUCUGAAAGUAACAAAUAGUACAUCUAAGAUAAAAUCAGUUUUUAUAUAUCCCAUAUGCAUUUCUUUAAAAAGCUAGUUAAUUAAGAUGUGACUUUAAUUUGAUUUUAAAAUUAUAAUAGUGUGUAUUUUAAAAGUUUGCAAUAACUAAAAUAACAUUUUUAAAUAUUAAAUGUCCAUAAUUUCCUUUUCCCCUCCUAGAUUAUCUGGGAUAAUUUAUUUCUUGGCUCUCUGCACCGAAAUAGCAACUGCUUAUCGAAACUAUCUAGACCAAGAUAAGAUUCCAUGCCUGCUUUUGAUGGCUCGUACCAAUCAUUGAUCCCUAAAUCUGCUGGUUCUUCCACAGAUGUGGACAGUUCGUAGUUAGGUCUGAGGGUGGAAUAGAUUGUAUAGUAAUUAAUCAAUGAUUGGAAAGUAAAUUAAAAAAUUUGAAUUUAUUUUUGCUAAAAACUGUUUUUUGAAUUAAGCUGCUGAAUUAUAUAGGAUGCUUUUGGCAGUAACCUCUUUAAGCCCUACAGAUUGGCCAGCACUGGAUGAUCAACCAGAAGGUCAAUGGAGUUACUGUCUUAGUCGGACUUGGAAUAUUCCUAAUAGACAUGUGGGAUCUGGAAUUGAACCCAGGUUAUCCAGGAUAGCAAGUGACUGAUUUUACUAUUUUUGUGGUUGAUGCCAUAAACUUUGACACUUAAAAUAUUCCAUCUUUUUAAGUUUAUCUAAAUAGUGCUGAUAGGCAUAAGAUAUUUUAAGAAUAAAACUGCAUAUUGAAUAUUUUAAAUAGUAGUAGUAUGCAACAAUAUUUGAAUAAUAUUCCUAAUAGUAAAUGUUUUUUUAAUAUUUUG